rnacentral:rRNA from 1 species
UACAGAGGCCACAAGCGUUAGUCGGAAUCACUGGGCUUAAAGGGUGCGUAGGUGGGCUCGCAAGCGUCCUGUGAAAUACCUCGGCUCAACCGGGGAACAGCAGGGCGAACUGCGAGUCUUGAGGCGAGUAGGGGCGGGCAGAACAGUCGGUGGAGCGGUGAAAUGCGUAGAGAUCGACUGGAAUGCCGAUGGGGAAGCCGGCCCGCUGGGCUCGUCCUGACACUGAGGCACGAAAGCGUGGGGAGCAAACAGG